rnacentral:rRNA from 1 species
UACGGGGGGAGCAAGCGUUGUUCGGAAUCACUGGGCGUAAAGCGCACGUAGGCGGACUCUUAAGUCAGGGGUGAAAUCCUGGAGCUCAACUCCAGAACUGCCUUUGAUACUGAGAGCCUUGAGUCCGGAAGAGGUAAGUGGAACUGCGAGUGUAGAGGUGAAAUUCGUAGAUAUUCGCAAGAACACCAGUGGCGAAGGCGGCUUACUGGUCCGGUACUGACGCUGAGGUGCGAAAGCGUGGGGAGCAAACAGG